UACGGGGGGGGCAAGCGUUGUUCGGAAUUACUGGGCGUAAAGGGUGCGUAGGUGGCGGGGUAAGUCUGGUGUGAAAGCUCCGAGCUCAACUCGGAAAAGCAUUGGAAACUAUCCCGCUGGAGGGUCGGAGGGGAGACUGGAAUUCUCGGUGUAGCAGUGAAAUGCGUAGAUAUCGAGAGGAACACCAGUGGCGAAGGCGACUGUCUGGGCUUUAACUGACGCUGAGGCGCGAAGGCCGGGGGAGCAAACAGG
rnacentral:rRNA from 1 species